AAGAUUAAAAUGCUGAGCCUGAAAUCUGACAACUAUGUUUGCAACACCAAGCUGGAUAAGCAAAGAGUUCCAAGAAAUGAUGAUCCUACUUUACAUCCUUUUGAAGUCCCACAAAGUAUGCAAAAGCUUUAAAUGCUUCCAAAUUGCAAAGUGUACAAAACCAUUCCUUGCUUCCCUGGAUGGUCACCAUGAUGGAGUCAGUUUCCUGGCAAAGUAUCCAAAGAUCCUGGCUACUAUCAUUUCUGGGGCAUGUGAUAGAGAGGUUAAAAUUGGGAACUUGACUAAAACUAAAAUACAUCUGAAUUAUACAAGCACAUGAAGGUUUUCUAUGAGGAGGUGCAGUUGCUUUUGUAGGAACACAAAACUGUAAAGCAGUGAAAAAUCAGGUUAUUUUGACAAGUAGGAGCCAUUGCACACUAUGUUAGGAAAAACAAUAUAUGUUGCCAUUGAUCAUCACUGGAAAGACCUUGUCUUUGCCACUUGUGGACAACAAGUAGACUUUUGUCCAAAAAAAAAAAAAAAAAAAAAAAAAAAAAACAAAAAAACAAAAAAAAAAAAACCAUUGAACUCAAUGAAUUGGGGAGUUGACAGUAUAAGUAGUGUUAAAUUUAACCCUAUUGAGAUUUAUUUAUUUAUUUAUUUAUUUGCGAAGUUAGGCUUUUGGUAGUAAUAUAGUACUGUGUGACAUGUGGUAAGCUGAUCCUUUAAAAAUGGUUAUACUGGAUAUGGAAACAAAUAUAAUCUGUUGGAACCCUAUAGAAGCUAUUCAUUUUACUACAGCAAAUGAAGUUUAUAACUUGGACACUUUGGAUAUGUGAGCACUGGACACUCCUGUUAUGUUCCACAUGAAUCACGUGUCUCCAGUGCUUGCUGUGGACUGCUCUCCUACUGGGAAGGAAUUUGUCUGCUGGUUUCCAUGAGCCUAUUAUAAUCUUUAUUAUGGACAAAGGCCUAAGCAGGGAAGUGUACCAUUCAAAACAAAUGCAAUAUGUUAUUUGUGGAAAAUGGAUUUCUGAUAGCAAGUAUAUUAUGUGUAAAUAUGAUGAACUGAUCAUCUGGCUGUGUAAAGCUACUGCUUUUGAAAAAUUGGGUGUGCUUACAUCAUGAGAAAAAAAAAAACAGUAAAUGAUUUUAACUACAAGUUAAAGGAAAAAAAAAUUCAACAUCAUCCACAUGUAAAAUGGAUUGCUCACCACAAACAUGUACUUAAAUCUAUCUACAGCCAGAUUCAGGAGCAGCAUGUCAUGAAAGAGUUGUCCAAGAAAGGAAAUGAAUCAUUUUAAACAAAGCAAGCCUGAAUCUGUGCCACUUGUGUCAGAGAGGACUAAACAGGUAGUGGAAGUUUUGAAA
rnacentral:lncRNA from 1 species